rnacentral:snRNA from 2 species
AUACCUUUGUUGACCUUUUGACUAAGAUCAAAUAUAGUAUCUGUUUUUAUCAGUUUAAUGUCUGAUACGUGAAUUCUCAUCUCCACAUGAUAUUAAAUUGUUUUUUAUGUGGAAGGAUCCACA